rnacentral:rRNA from 1 species
AUUCCAGCUCCAAUAGUGUAUAUUAAAGUUGUUGCAGUUAAAAAGCUCGUAGUUGGAUUUCUGGCGGGAGCGAUCGGUCCUUCACUCAGUGUUGGAACCUGAUUGUCUCCUGCCAUCCAUGGAGAAAACUUAUCUGGCAUUAAGUUGUCGGGUAGGCAAUCUCCAUCUUUUACUGUGAAAAAAUUAGAGUGUUCAAAGCAGGCUUAUGCCGUUGAAUAUAUUAGCAUGGAAUAAUAAGAUAGGACUAUGGUACUAUUUUGUUGGUUUGUGCACCAUGGUAAUGAUUAAUAGGGACAGUUGGGGGUAUUCGUAUUCCAUUGUCAGAGGUGAAAUUCUUGGAUUUAUGGAAGACGAACUACUGCGAAAGCAUUUACCAAGGAUGUUUUCAUUA